rnacentral:rRNA from 1 species
UGAGGAAUAUUGGUCAAUGGGCGGGAGCCUGAACCAGCCAAGCCGCGUGAGGGAGGAAGGCCCUAUGGGUCGUAAACCUCUUUUGUCAGGGAACAAAAGCGAGUAUGUAUACUAGUCUGAGUGUACCUGAAGAAAAAGCAUCGGCUAGCUCCGUGCCAGCAGCCGCGGUAAUACGGAGGAUGCGAGCGUUAUCCGGAUUUAUUGGGUUUAAAGGGUGCGUAGGCGGCGGUGCAAGUCAGCGGUAAAAGCCCGGGGGCUCAACCCCGGCGAGCCGUUGAAACUGCAGUGCUAGAGAAGGCGAGAGGUACGCGGAAUGCGCAGUGUAGCGGUGAAAUGCUUAGAUAUUGCGCAGAACUCCGAUUGCGAAGGCAGCGUACUGGCGCCUGACUGACGCUGAGGCACGAAAGCGUGGGGAUCGAACAGGAUUAGAUACC